GGGGAUUUAGCUCAGUAGUGUAAGUACCUGCCUGGCAAGCAUGAAGUCAUGAGUUCAAUCCCCAGUACCCCCC
rfam:Cavia porcellus supercont2_2 genomic scaffold, whole genome shotgun sequence.